rnacentral:rRNA from 1 species
AGCGCUGACAGUGACGGGAAGCUCCGCCGCCGCCACUGCCUGCACACCGCCACCAUCCACUCACUGCCAUCACCGGCCACCGUCACCAUGGCCGGCACCGGGAGUUCCUCAUCUGCACCAGGACAAGGAGGCUUUCACUUGAUGAGUUGCCUAAAAGAAGUUCCGACACUCAGAGGUGACAACCACACUGAGUGGAGGAAGAAAGUUGAACUGGCAUUUAUUUGUGCUGAUCUUGACUGGGUUGUGGUGAAACCACAGCCGGUCAGACCCACAGAGCCAGUAAGAGAGGCCACUG